rnacentral:rRNA from 1 species
CGAUGGGCCGACGUCGCAUGCUCCCGGCCGCCAUGGUUAGAGUUUGAUCAUGGCUCAGAUUGAACGCUGGCGGCAUGCUUUACACAUGCAAGUCGAACGGUAACAGGCCGCAAGGUGCUGACGAGUGGCGAACGGGUGAGUAAUGUAUCGGAACGUGCCCAGUCGUGGGGGAUAACGCAGCGAAAGCUGCGCUAAUACCGCAUACGAUCUAUGGAUGAAAGCGGGGGACCGUAAGGCCUCGCGCGAUUGGAGCGGCCGAUAUCAGAUUAGGUAGUUGGUGGGGUAAAGGCUCACCAAGCCAACGAUCUGUAGCUGGUCUGAGAGGACGACCAGCCACACUGGGACUGAGACACGGCCCAGACUCCUACGGGAGGCAGCAGUGGGGAAUUUUGGACAAUGGGCGCAAGCCUGAUCCAGCAAUGCCGCGUGCAGGAAGAAGGCCUUCGGGUUGUAAACUGCUUUUGUACGGAACGAAACGGUCCUGGUUAAUACCUGGGGCUAAUGACGGUACCGUAAGAAUAAGCACCGGCUAACUACGUGCCAGCAGCCGCGGUAAUACGUAGGGUGCAAGCGUUAAUCGGAAUUACUGGGCGUAAAGCGUGCGCAGGCGGUUUUGUAAGACAGGCGUGAAAUCCCCGGGCUUAACCUGGGAAUGGCGUUUGUGACUGCAAAGCUGGAGUGCGGCAGAGGGGGAUGGAAUUCCGCGUGUAGCAUGGAAAUGCGUAGAUAUGCGGAGAACCCGGAUGGCGAAGGCAAUCCCCUGGGCCUGCACGGAGCUUAUGCACGAAACCGUGG